GGAACUUAGAGAGGGACCCCCGAGCCUGCCGAGUUUGCAAUCGCACUGCAGAGGUCGAGGGUUCGAAUCCCUUCAUCUCCACCA
rnacentral:tRNA from 1 species